rnacentral:pre_miRNA from 1 species
CGUGGGAGGCCGGAUCCUGGGCUGUGUCCCCGGCGCCCUGUGCUCCCAGGUCUGCGCUGUUGGAUUUGCGCUCCCGGUCGGGCAGCCCCCU